ACKGCUCAGUAACACGUAGUCAACCUACCCUGGAGGCGUGGACAAACCCGGGAAACUGGGGCUAAUCCGCGAUAGGUCAUAUCAUCUGGAAGGAGAUAUGGCCCAAAGGGGUGGUGCGGGCUUCUUCCGCUCCAUUCGCUCCAGGAUGGGACUGCGGCCGAUCAGGCUGUUGGUGGGGUAAUGGCCCACCAAACCUGUAACCGGUACGGGCUUUGAGAGAAGGGGCCCGGAGAUGGACACUGAGACAAGGGUCCAGGCCCUACGGGGCGCAUCAGGCGCGAAACCUUCGCAAUGCGCGAAAGCGUGACGAGGCUAUUCCGAGUGUUUUCCGCUGAGGAGGACUUUUCCUAGCUGUAAAUAGGCUGGGGAAUAAGGGGAGGGCAAGUCUGGUGUCAGCCGCCGCGGUAAUACCAGCUCCUCGAGUGGUCGGGACGAUUAUUGGGCCUAAAGCAUCCGUAGCCUGUUCCGUAGGUCUCCUGUUAAAUUCAACCGCUCAACGGUUGACCCGCAGGAGAUACCGCGGGACUAGGAGGCGAGAGAGGCGGACGGUACUCCGCAGGUAGGGGUAAAAUCCUUUGAUCUGCGGAAGACCACCAGAUUGUCUGCGGGAUUCUUUCCCACGGACAAGGUGAAUGGCGAAGGCGGUCCGCCAGAACGCGCUCGACGGUGAGGGAUGAAAGCUGGGGGAGCGAACCGGAUUAGAUACCCGGGUAGUCCCAGCCGUAAACGAUGCGAGCUAGAUGAUCCGAUCGCAGUUCGCGAUCGGAGUGUCGCAGGGAAGCCGUUAAGCUCGCCGCCUGGGGAGUACGGUCGCAAGGCUGAAACUUAAAGGAAUUGGCGGGGGAGCAC
rnacentral:rRNA from 1 species